rnacentral:sRNA from 1 species
AAUCUUUCUUGAGAUAGAGCAACCCCACGAACUCUAGAGUAGAUCCUCCAGAUUCUAGGCAUAUCUAAUAUCCAAUUAGACAUCCGUUGAUGAGAGGGAUUCAGAAAUCUUCCAAUAAGACUGCAACUAUUCCUCUCAAUCGAACUUAACUGAGGUUGAUUUGAUAGAAUUAAAGGACUAUCAUCGUUGAUCGUCAUCUCAAAGAUUGCUUUAUCCAAUUCCAUAUUCAUGAUAAGAACCCCUUUAAAACACUUUCAGAAGAUACUCACAGCAACACAAUUCACAGAGAAUUGAUACAACUACAGCUGCAACUACAACCCAAAGAUCUUGACUUGAUUGAAACUCAAAAGAUUUAGAACUCCGACAGAAAACGGAAAUAUCUUCGACAAAGGCUCCGCUCCAAAACAAGAGUGCAAUAGAGGGAGAAGUUCUUAAGCCCAGCUGAAAAGGGACGGCGAACAAACGGCGAUUUGAAAUUAGAAAUUUCAGCUACUAAGAGAGAGAACAGAGAAAAUUUUUUAGUAGGUGAGUGUGUUUGGUCACCCAUUUAGGUUAGUUUGGUGUAGGAUUACUUCAUCUAAA